CAACCAGCCCCUUCCUUUUGUGAUUUUUUUAUUUAAAAAAAAAUAUAUAUAUAUAUAAAACUGAAACUCCCUGCUUAGGCCUUUAUGAACUAGUGUAGUAGUGAGAGAUAGAGUCCAGAAAGGCGCAGACUUGGUUUAGAGCCCAAUAGGCCCAUAUAAUAUCAUAUGGGCUCGCUGCGCCUGCUGCUGCCGCCGCCGCCGCUAUCGGUAUCACUAUCAGACGACGGCAAGAGAAUAAAACUCUCUACUCUAGUCUACUCUGUGGUGGUGGUGGUGCCGUACAACGGCACAGGCAGGCAAGUAGCAUAGCUUAUUUUACGGCAAUUAUAACAAACGACCGACAUCCCCAAAUCAAUUGAUAUUGAUACACUGGAUAGCCGACGGAGGAAGAGGAAGAGACAGAGAGGAUGAUGAGAAUCCUCAACUUGCGGUUCAUUGAAGGCUCAUUCAGUUCAACAUCCCUACCUUUCUUCCUCUCCUCCCAACGCGUGCGGGCACGGUCGGCAGGGACGGAGGCAGGGACAGGGACCGGGACAGGGAGGGUCCUCGAUUUCUCGUGUGGUCUUAACAUGGCUUUGGCCGGCAAAGGUGUAAUUGUCGACCACCAAGCCUUUCAUAAUUUGACUCCUCUCAACUUCAACACAAGGGUGCAACAAUUCCAGAAUCAUUGUCAGGACUUCCACUUCUUGUUAGAGGACGUUUCCAUGGAAUAGGAGCAGCAGCAGGAGGAGGAGGAGCUUCCCAAAUUUCCAAGCCACAGUUCACUAAGCUUUUGAAACAUGCACG